rnacentral:rRNA from 1 species
UACAGAGGUCUCAAGCGUUGUUCGGAUUCAUUGGGCGUAAAGGGUGCGUAGGCGGCGAGGUAAGUCGGAUGUGAAAUCCCGGGGCUCAACCCCGGAACUGCAUUCGAUACUGCCUUGCUCGAGUACUGGAGAGGAGACUGGAAUUUACGGUGUAGCGGUGAAAUGCGUAGAUAUCGUAAGGAAGACCAGUGGCGAAGGCGGGUCUCUGGACAGUAACUGACGCUGAGGAGCGAAAGCGUGGGGAGCGAACAGG